AUCGCUUCUCAGCCUUUUGGCUAAGAUCAAGUGUAGAAUGACCUGGAUCAUGUUUUCAGGACUGAGAUGUUUACUUUUUAACAGCAACACACAUUUUUUUCUUUAAAUUUUUUUGUUGUUAUGUUAAUCACCAUACAUUACAUCAUUACAUUUUGCCAUGAAAUCUUGGUCUUCAUGCCAUGGGCAUCACACUGG